rnacentral:rRNA from 1 species
GACGAACGCUGGCGGCGUGCUUAACACAUGCAAGUCGAACGGAAAGACCCUGCUUUUGUGGGGUGCUCGAGUGGCGAACGGGUGAGUAACACGUGAGUAACCUGCCCUUGACUUUGGGAUAACUUCAGGAAACUGGGGCUAAUACUGGAUAGGAGCUCCUGCUGCAUGGUGGGGGUUGGAAAGUUUCGGCGGUUGGGGAUGGACUCGCGGCUUAUCAGCUUGUUGGUGGGGUAGUGGCUUACCAAGGCUUUGACGGGUAGCCGGCCUGAGAGGGUGACCGGCCACAUUGGGACUGAGAUACGGCCCAGACUCCUACGGGAGGCAGCAGUGGGGAAUAUUGCACAAUGGGCGGAAGCCUGAUGCAGCAACGCCGCGUGCGGGAUGACGGCCUUCGGGUUGUAAACCGCUUUCGCCUGUGACGAAGCGUGAGUGACGGUAAUGGGUAAAGAAGCACCGGCUAACUACGUG